rnacentral:rRNA from 1 species
UAAGCCAUGCGAGUCGAACGAGUUUAGGCUCGUGGCGUACGGCUCAGUAACACGUGGAUAACCUACCCUUAGGACCGGGAUAACCUUGGGAAACUGAGGACAAUACUGGAUAGGCAAUUUUUCCUGUAAUGGUUUUUUGUUUAAAUGUUUUUUCGCCUAAGGAUGGGUCUGCGGCCGAUUAGGUAGUUGGUUAGGUAAUGGCUUACCAAGCCGUUGAUCGGUACGGGUUGUGAGAGCAAGAGCCCGGAGAUGGAACCUGAGACAAGGUUCCAGGCCCUACGGGGUGCAGCAGGCGCGAAACCUCCGCAAUGUGAGAAAUCGCGACGGGGGGAUCCCAAGUGCCAUUCUUAACGGGAUGGCUUUUCAUUAGUGUAAAAAGCUUUUGGAAUAAGAGCUGGGCAAGACCGGUGCCAGCCGCCGCGGUAACACCGGCAGCUCUAGUGGUAGCAAUUUUUAUUGGGCCUAAAGCGUCCGUAGCCGGUUUAAUAAGUCUCUGGUGAAAUCCUGUAGCUUAACUGUGGGAAUUGCUGGAGAUACUAUUAGACUUGAGACCGGGAGAGGUUAGAGGUACUCCCAGGGUAGAGGUGAAAUUCUGUAAUCCUGGGAGGACCGCCUGUUGCGAAGGCGUCUAACUGGAACGGUUCUGACGGUGAGGGACGAAAGUUAGGGGCGCGAACCGGAUUAGAUACCCGGGUAGUCCUAACUGUAAACGAUGCGGACUUGGUGUUGGGGUGGCUUUGAGCUGCUCCAGUGCCGAAGGGAAGCUGUUAAGUCCGCCGCCUGGGAAGUACGGUCGCAAGACUGAAACUUAAAGGAAUUGGCGGGGGAGCACCACAACGCGUGGAGCCUGCGGUUUAAUUGGAUUCAACGCCGGACAUCUCACCAGAGGCGACAGCUGUAUGAUAGCCAGGUUGAUGACUUUGCUUGACUAGCUGAGAGGUGGUGCAUGGC